rfam:Chromatiales bacterium (ex Bugula neritina AB1) isolate AB1-2 AB833_contig000201, whole genome shotgun sequence.
GAAAGCCGGAUGCAGGAAAACUGCAUGUCCGGUUUGCCGAGCGGCGACUGGAAACGGGAGGGGAUCUUGUCUGUACGACUACCUGUCUGCGCGCCAGUCGUCGACUCUAC